AGUUCCUGUGUUGCAGCUUUAUGAUUUGUAUUAAAUGCUGGCAAUGUUUGUUUCACUGGGAGGCUAAGAGGUACAAAAGGGCCUCUUUUUAAAGCCUUUGCAAGUCUUUAUAUUUAAUGGUACUACUCUCUCAUUUGACACUGAAUUGUCGGUAUUAUUGUCAAUAUUGCUGUUUUCACGCAUAUUUAACAUCCUUAAAUAAUGAACCCGGUAUUCAGAAGUUAACGCUGCUUCAUCCCACUUCGCCAAAGCCGCCGUUCUGCUCUGGGUUCCCUGUGACACAAGAGAGUGCCUCUUCUCUAGACAAGCUCUCCUCUUUUUUUUUCUUUUUUCUUUAUCUUCCUCGGAUGUAUUCUGUCACUCAUCCCAUACCAUUUAAACCCAGGGCUUCGACACAAUCCCGGUCCUGUUCAAAGGAAGUCUAUCUUUAGCCGUUUUGAGGAGCUCUCCUGCAGCUGCCAUGUCAGCCCGAGUUUACGCCGGCAGAGUGAAGGUCCUUCGACGCAGGGAGACAGAGAGGAGGAAGGUGAAGCCCACGGGGAAGCGGCUCGAUGGAUCAGACUGGCAGCACAGCCAGCGCUCUGCUCUGCCGCCCAAACGCUGCUCUGGCUUUGCCCAGACGGAAGGCACCUCUUCACCAGCACUGAUUAAGGAAAAGCAGGAGAUCUGAGACUGAAGAACACAAGCAGACUGGCUCCUGUGCGGCAGACGCAGAUGCUCGGGUGGCAGAGGAGGCCAGCGGUGGAGCUGCGGCUGGCGGAACACGGAACACGGAACACGGAACACGGAACGUGAGGUGGGCUCCAGAACGUUCCGAGAGAAAUCCCUGGCAGGCCAGCGCCGCGCUCGGCGUUCCGUGUAGGUGGAUUCCCGCUCGUAUGGGAUUGAGGUUAUCAGCUGCACUUCAAUCACAGCUCCGGUCAUCUCACUGCC